UUCAGGAGUUUUACAGCAAGUCUCUCUCAAGCUUGGUCAUGUCAUGCAUUAAAUUUGGUUCCUGCAUUUUCCCAACUGUGCUACAGAAAGAGAACUGAUUUAAGGUUCUCUCCCCUGAUGCAUUCACAUACUUACAAGCCUAUUUGCCGUGCUUCUGCUAGCUAAGGAUAUCUGAUGCUGAGGUGAAUUCCAGCAAGAUUGGGCUGAAUGGAUAUCUGCCAAUAAAGCUCUGAAAAUCUCAAAGGAAGAUUUGAUUUUUGCUACACAAAUCAGGUAUAUGUGAUGCGUGCCCUUUUUUACCUACAGAUGGCACAACCAAAAGGGAGAAUGGACUCUGUAGCGCAAGACAGGUGGGCAUGGAUGUCUGAAGAGUGGUUGUAGAAGAAGCUUUUAUGUCUUCUGAGCACCGUCCUAGACAUAAUGUUGCAUGCAGGUGGAUAAAGGGCGUGGUUUGCUACAGGGACGUACCAUCAGCAGUUUCUUACCUUUUAGUCAGAGUGGGGAAAGACUCUGAAGUUACAUUUCUCUCCUGAGUUUUCCCUAGUAAAUUUGCAGUAUUUGUCUGUUCCUAUAAAAGCUGAGAAAAUAAUUAUCUUUUUUUUUUUUUUUUAAAUUAUUUUUGCCUGUUUAGAUAAAUGGCAGAAACUUUUGACCAUAGUAGUAAUGCUUUAAAAGAGUUGUGCAGUGCAUCUGAAAAGUUUUUACACCCGCAAGAAUAGGGGGUAAAAAUCAACAAUAGAGGUGAUAAAUGACAUCUUCCACAGUUUGCAAGUCUGUAGACUUCCUCUUUUUCAUUUCAUCAAUCUAGUGAUGCAGACAGCAGUAAG